CCUACGUGAGGCAGCAGUGAGGAAUCUUGGUCAAUGGCCGGAAGGCUGAACCAGCCAAGCCGCGUGAAGGACGAAGGUGCCAAGCAUUGUAAACUUCUUUUGUCAGGGAGAAAUUGGGUCCACGCGUGGGCUUAGCGAGAGUACCUGAAGAAAAAGCAUCGGAUAACUCCGUGCCACCAGCCGCGGUAAUACGGGGGAUGCGAACAUUAUCCGGAUUGAUUGGGUUUACAGGAUGCGUAGGCGGAAAAUAAAGUCAGCGUGAAAAAUUCGGGGCUAAACCCCGUCGUGCCGUUGAAACUGAUGUUCUUGAGUGGGCGAGAGGUAUGCGGAAUGCGUGGUGUAGCGGUGAAAUGCAUAGAUAUCACGCAGAACUCCGAUUGCGAAGGCAGCAUACCGGCGCCCAACUGACGCUGAAGCACGAAAGCGUGGGUAUCGAACAGGAUUAGAUACCCGUGUAGUC
rnacentral:rRNA from 1 species